UUGGAGGGCAAGUCUGGUGCCAGCAGCCGCGGUAAUUCCAGCUCCAAUAGCGUAUAAUAAAGUUGUUGCAGUUAAAAAGCUCGUAGUUGAACUUCGGGGUUUACCCAUUGGUCAGGCUUAAUUGUCUGUACUGGUGAGAUGAAUCUCUACCUUCUGAGGAACUUUCAUGCCAUUUAUUUGGUGUGAUGGGAAAUCAGGACCGUUACUUUGAAAAAAUUAGAGUGUUUAAAGCAGGCUAACGUCUGAAUACAUUAGCAUGGAAUAAUAAAAUAGGACGGUGGUCCUGUUUUGUUGGUUUCUGAAUCACGGUAAUGAUUAAUAGGGAUAGUUGGGGGCAUUAGUAUUCAAUUGUCAGAGGUGAAAUUCUUGGAUUUAUUGAAGACUAACUUCUGCGAAAGCAUUUGCCAAGGAUGUUUUCAUUAAUCAAGAACGAAAGUUAGGGGAUCGAAGACGAUCAGAUACCGUCGUAGUCUUAACCAUAAACUAUGCCGACUAGGGAUCGGACGAUGUUAAAUUUUAUUGACUCGUUCGGCGCCUUACGGGAAAC
rnacentral:rRNA from 1 species